rnacentral:rRNA from 1 species
UACGUAGGGUGCAAGCGUUGUCCGGAAUUAUUGGGCGUAAAGAGCUCGUAGGCGGUUUGUCGCGUCGGCUGUGAAAACUCGGGGCUCAACCCCGAGCCUGCAGUCGAUACGGGCAGACUAGAGUGCGUGUAGGGGAGACUGGAAUUCCUGGUGUAGCGGUGAAAUGCGCAGAUAUCAGGAGGAACACCGGUGGCGAAGGCGGGUCUCUGGGCAGUAACUGACGCUGGAGGAGCGAAAGCGUGGGGAGCGAACAGG